AACGUAGGUUCCGAGCGUUAUCCGGAUUUACUGGGCGUAAAGCGCGUUCAGGCGGUUUGGCAAGUCGGGCAUGGAAUCUCUCGGCUCAACCGGGAGAGGUUGUCCGAUACUGCUGGACUUGAGGGCAGUAGAGGGUGGUGGAAUUCCGGGUGUAGUGGUGAAAUGCGUAGAUAUCGGGAGGAACACCAGUGGCGAAGGCGACUACCUGGCCCAUUCUUGACGCUGAGGCGCGAAAGCUAGGGGAGCGAACGGG
rnacentral:rRNA from 1 species